CUGUAUGUCUUUUAACACACAAAUGUAGGCAUUUUUGUCUGUCUCAUUCACAAUCUCUAGGGGAAAGCUUUUAAUAGUCCACCAAUAAGUAUAAAGUUUAGUGGAGUUUUUUUGUACUGUUGUCAGAAUAAUCAUGUUCCCUUCCAGUCCUGGUGGCAGAGAUUUCAAUCAUGAAUUGCCAUUAAAUUUUAUCAACCGCUUUUUUCUGCACCCAUUAAGGCAUUAAGACUCUUCUGUAUUUUUAAAAUGAGGUAUAUUAUGCUAUGUUUUACUGUUAGAUCAACCUUAUACUACUAGAAUAAACCCAUACUGGGAAAUAUUUGGUCAUUAUUUCUUCAUAUAUCUUUUUUGCUCCAUUCUAUCACCUUUGCUUCCAGAUUCCAAUUACAUAUGUGUUAGGCCACUUGAUCUUAUCCCACAGUUCUUCGAGGCUCUUUAUUUUCUUUAAUCUGUUUUCUCUCUGUUCUUCAAACUAGCUACUUUCUCCUGCUCUAUCUUCAAAUUCACUAACUCUCUUUGACUCUCUCAUCAGCCAUCUCUAAUCUGCUGUUAAGUCCAUUCAGCAAAUUAUCUGAUUCAGUUAUUGCACUUGCUGGGGCAGAAUGGCUCCCCAAAGAUGUCUAUGUCUUCAUUCCUAGAACUGAUGAAUAUGUUACGUUACAACAUGGCAAAGGAACUGUGCUGAUAUAAUUAAGAUUGUCACCUAAAUUACCCAGGUAGGUGCAAUCUAAUCACAUGAGCACUUUAAAGCAGAUGUGCUGAAAGAGGAGGCAGAAGAAAUGUGGCAGAAAGGCAAAUCAGAGAGAUUCAAAGUGCAGCUCAACACACUAUUGCUGGCUCUGACACGUAUGAAUCAACAUGCAAGGGACUCAAAGAGAGGCCUUUAGUUGCUCAUUGAAAGCAUGAGAAGGAAUACAGGCAACCUCUAGAGGCACAGACUAACCUCCAGCUGAAAGCCAGCAAGGAAACAGAGACCUACAACCUACAGUCUCAAGGAAAUGAAUUUGGCCAACGACUUAAAUGAGAUUGGAAGUGGAUUCUUCCUCAAAGCCUCCAGUAAGCAACAGCACUCCACCAA
rnacentral:lncRNA from 10 species